rnacentral:rRNA from 1 species
CGGGGGGCAGCAGUGGGGAAUCUUGCGCAAUGGGCGAAAGCCUGACGCAGCCAUGCCGCGUGAAUGAUGAAGGUCUUAGGAUUGUAAAAUUCUUUCAGCGGGGACGAUAAUGACGGUACCCGCAGAAGAAGCCCCGGCUAACUUCGUGCCAGCAGCCGCGGUAAUACGAAGGGGGCUAGCGUUGCUCGGAAUUACUGGGCGUAAAGGGAGCGUAGGCGGAUAGUUUAGUCAGAGGUGAAAGCCCAGGGCUCAACCUUGGAAAUGCCUUUGAUACUGGCUAUCUUGAGUAUGGGAGAGGUAAGCGGAAUUCCGAGUGUAGAGGUGAAAUUCGUAGAUAUUCGGAAGAACACCAGUGGCGAAGGCGGCUUACUGGCCCAUUACUGACGCUGAGGCUCGAAAGCGUGGGGAGCAAACAGGAUUAGAUACCCGAGU